rnacentral:lncRNA from 1 species
GACAGCUUUUUAUUAUUGCUGUGGUUCUUUUCUGUAUGACGAGAUGUUGUUUUGAUCAUUCUCCCCUCUUCAACGUGUGUCCUCUUUGGUUCAAAUAAGCUUUAGGAUCGAUGCAUGGCAAGGGAAGGGAUAAGGACGAAUAGCAUGCAAAGCUUUAUUCUCGGCUGCCCCUACAACUGUAUCCCCAAUGCAUGGCUACACCUACACCUGGGCGCCUACAAAGAUAUUCAUAUCCUAAACCACCCAUAUCCACCAGGGCGCCUUUGGAUGCUAGCUCCCCCCCCCCUUAUUUUUUAAGGGUGUACUAUUACAGAAAAACUUUGCCGAAGCGGUCAGAUUUGAUUUAGCGAAGCGGACAUUGCAACCGCCUCGGUCAAAAGGUCACGCUAAUAGGAUCUUUUUCUGAGGUGGUUUGAUGCCUACCUCAUAAAUCAAAUAAAAAACAAAAAAAAUGAAAACCCGUGGACAAAAUCUGGCAAGCCAAUCCACAUGGUGCUGCGAGCUGUUCACCGAACCGCCGGGGUUCCUUGAUCUGCCACUGAGGGGGCUCGAUGAGGCCACCACGGGUGCAGAACCAACCACCAUGGUAGCCGAUGGAGGAGCUUGGGGAGGGCACGCAACCAUCGAUGUAGGAGCGAGCAUUGCCAACACCUCCCUAGGACGAGCCUAUUACUAUGACCGAGUUUUGGGUCGAGUACGAGUUUGACCUUAUUAACAGAGCCUAUUUUCCAAGGUGAGUCUCUUAUAAAGCCCAUCUCGAUUAGUAGAUUUUAGGAACUACCUUGAUAAAUCGAUUUUGUGAGGCAGUUGACUAUAACCACCUUGGUUAAAAAAAUGACUGUCUCAGUUAAUCCCAUGCAUUAAACGAGGUGGUUUGAAAGCCCGC